CACACUUCAAGUACUGUGUUCAGUUUUGGGCCCCUCACUACAAGAAAGACAUUGAGUCACUGGAGUAUGUCCAGAGAAGGGCAACAAAGCUGGUGAGGGGUCUGGAGUACAAGUCUUAUGGUGAGAGGCUGAGGUUGUUCAGUCUGGAGAAAAGAAGUCUCAAGGGAGAUCUUAUCGCUUUCUACAAUGGCUUGAAUGGAGGUUGUUGUGAGGCAGACAUCGGCCUCUUCUCCCAGAAUCAGCACAUCAAGGUUCUCUGAUGCUGCCAAGAACUGAGGUUGCCAACGGAACUUCUGUGGAAUGGACUCCUUGCACACCAGCCUCACUCCUCUUUUGUACCCCUCCACAGUGUGUGAACAAUGACGUGCCUUUAAUAUUGAUCUCUGCCCAGAUGGCUGUGCCAUGGGGAGCCUUUGUGGUACAGACAUUUGCCUACUUGGAAGGAGCUCAUUCAGCAGCACUGGCACACAGGGCAGAGGGAGGGUGUUCUCUGUUUUCAUGCUGUCACUGCCUUGGUGCACCUGAAAUCUGAUGGGGAGGAGUGGUGAUGGAUCUUUGUUUCUGUGUCUCUUACUCCUAGUGAAAUCACUCUUACUUUCUUCUUUCAUCCUCUCGAUACUCCUAAUUCUCAGCCUAUCCCUGAUAACAGCACGGCUUCUUUAUGCCUUUCUCAGCCAAGUCCUCCUCUCCCUCACAAAGUUAUGUGUCUUCAGAACCAUAACAACAUGCCUUCUUAACAGAUUGUGUAGCUGGGAUUUAUAUGUUGAAUGCAAG
ensembl:lncRNA